AGAGUUGAUCCUGGCUCAGGAUGAACGCUGGCGGCGUGCCUAACACAUGCAAGUCGAACGAAGCAUACGGACUGGAGAUUCGUCGAAGGACUGUAUGACUUAGUGGCGGACGGGUGAGUAAUGUAUGAGCAACCUGCCUUUCAGAGGGGGACAACAGUUGGAAACGACUGCUAAUACCGCGUAACGUAUUGUGAGGGCAUCCUCGUGAUACCAAAGGAGCAAUCCGCUGAAAGAUGGGCUCAUAUCUGAUUAGCUUGUUGGCGGGGUAACGGCCCACCAAGGCGACGAUCAGUAGCCGGACUGAGAGGUUGAACGGCCACAUUGGGACUGAGAUACGGCCCAGACUCCUACGGGAGGCAGCAGUGGGGAAUAUUGGGCAAUGGGCGAAAGCCUGACCCAGCAACGCCGCGUGAAGGAAGAAGGUCUUCGGAUUGUAAACUUCUUUUAUGAGGGACGAAGGACGUGACGGUACCUCAUGAAUAAGCCACGGCUAACUACGUGCCAGCAGCCGC
rnacentral:rRNA from 1 species